rnacentral:rRNA from 1 species
AGUGAACGCUGGCGGUAGGCCUAACACAUGCAAGUCGAACGGCAGCACAGUAAGAGCUUGCUCUUACGGGUGGCGAGUGGCGGACGGGUGAGGAAUACAUCGGAAUCUACUUUUUCGUGGGGGAUAACGGAGGGAAACUUACGCUAAUACCGCAUACGACCUACGGGUGAAAGCAGGGGAUCUUCGGACCUUGCGCGAUUGAAUGAGCCGAUGUCGGAUUAGCUAGUUGGCGGGGUAACGGCCCACCAAGGCGACGAUCCGUAGCUGGUCUGAGAGGAUGAUCAGCCACACUGGAACUGAGACACGGUCCAGACUCCUACGGGAGGCAGCAGUGGGGAAUAUUGGACAAUGGGCGCAAGCCUGAUCCAGCCAUACCGCGUGGGUGAAGAAGGCCUUCGGGUUGUAAAGCCCUUUUGUUGGGAAAGAAAAGCAGCAGGUUAAUCCCCCGCUGUUCUGACGGUACCCAAAGAAUAAGCACCGGCUAACUUCGUG